CAGCAGCCGCGGGAACACGUAGGUGGCAAGCGUUGUCCGGAAUUAUUGGGCGUAAAGCGCGCGCAGGUGGUUUAAUAAGUCUGAUGUGAAAGCCCACGGCUCAACCGUGGAGGGUCAUUGGAAACUGUUAAACUUGGGUGCAGGAGUGAAAAGUGGAAUUCCUAGUGUAGCGGUGAAAUGCGUAGAGAUUAGGAGGAACACAGUGGCGAAGGCGGCUUUUUGGCCUGUAACUGACACUGAGGCGCGAAAGCGUGGGGAGCAAACAGGAUUAGAUACCCCAGUAGUCCCUGUCUCUUAUACA
rnacentral:rRNA from 1 species